UGCACGCUCAAUAUAUUCUCA
rnacentral:piRNA from 1 species